GUCACCAAAAGCUGACCUCACCCCAGCAGAGGCCAGCUUUGCAGCUAAAUAAAGGCAGGCCUGUUGGAGGGGAUCCCUGGGGGAAAAGAGACAAGCAUAGGUCCUUCCCAAGAUGCCACCCGCUUCAUACAAGUGUCUGGCAGCACUGUGUUACUGUUAAAGCCACCAGCACGAGCACCUGACGAUGCUGAACCAGUGAGUACUCCAUCAAAGGCAUACUGUAGGCCUGGCAUGUCUUGUCUACUAGCUUCAAUAUGAAUCCGAUUAAAUGUGAUGGGGUCAAGGCCCCAUUUCAUCAGCACAUAACGGCGAUGAUGAUGAGGAGACCAUCUCUCUGGAUUCCAAAAGGCAUAAGGACCCAGUGUCAUUGGUGCACUGGACUGCACACACAUAAGGAUAAAAGCCCCCUCAGGUGCCCAUGAGGCAGAUUUUGUAAAUAUGAAAUCUUUUUACAGCAUUAAUGUUCAGGUGAA